UACGAAGGGGGCUAGCGUUGUUCGGAAUUACUAGGCGUAAAGCGCACGUAGGCGGAUUUUUAAGUCAGGGGUGAAAUCCCGAGGCUCAACCUCGGAACUGCCUUUGAUACUGGAGAUCUUGAGUUCGGAAGAGGUUGGUGGAACAGCUAGUGUAGAGGUGAAAUUCGUAGAUAUUAGCUAGAACACCAGUGGCGAAGGCGGCCAACUGGUCCGAUACUGACGCUGAGGUGCGAAAGCGUGGGGAGCAAACAGG
rnacentral:rRNA from 1 species